UACGUAGGGUGCAAGCGUUGUCCGGAAUUAUUGGGCGUAAAGAGCUCGUAGGCGGCUUGUCGCGUCGGCUGUGAAAACCUGGGGCUCAACCCCGGGCCUGCAGCCGAUACGGGCAAGCUAGAAUUCGGUAGGGGAGACUGGAAUUCCUAGUGUAGCGGUGAAAUGCGCAGAUAUCAGGAGGAACACCGGUGGCGAAGGCGGGUCUCUGGGCCGAUAUUGACGCUGAGGAGCGAAAGCGUGGGGAGCAAACAGG
rnacentral:rRNA from 1 species